rnacentral:tRNA from 1 species
GGAGUUAGCUCAGUGGUAGAGCGCUUGCCUAGCAAGCACAAGGCCCUGGGUUCAGUUCCCAGCUCCG